CUUCUGAGCUGGAAGGGACCCACAAGGAUCCCUGAGUCGAUGUCCCACCCGGGAGGGCAGCAGGACAGCCUGGAAUCCCUGCAGUCCCAAACCACUGCAGCUCCCUGUGUGCAGGUGCUUUGCAUCCCUCUUGGAGGGCACAGUGGAGGCACAGGGUGGCACAGCAGCAAAGCAUUGGGCUUGGGAGCCUUCAUCAGAGCACUUGGGCUUAUAAACCUGACCCACCAGCUGUGACAGUGCAGAUGUUUCCUGUCUCCCUGGAUCUGCAAAGAGCCAUUUGGUGGCUGGAAGUGGUUCCUGGAAUGAAGCUGUGGAUUUGGGCUCCCAGAGAGCACCUGAGCUCCAGCGAGCGGGACGUGCCCGGGCAGUGACCACCUCACCCU